CCCACUUCUAUUUAUGUGACAGCAGAGAUCAUGACAGAGAUCAGUGGACACAUGGUUUGACCCGUCAGUUCACCUGCUUCUCCAUCAACCAUGUUUCCUGCAGCUCUGCUGCUGCUGUUGGCAGCUGGAUCCAGUGUGAAGUGUGAACAGCUGACACAGCCAGACUCUGUGACUGUGCAGCCAGGUCAGCGUCUGACCGUCACCUGUCAGGUCUCUUAUUCACUUGGCUACUGGACAGCUUGGAUCAGACAACCUGCAGGGAAAGGACUGGAGUGGAUUGGGAUGAGAAGCACUGGAGCCUCUUACUACAAAGAUUCACUGAAGAGCAAAUUCAGCAUUGAAUUGGACACUUCCAGCAACACAGUGACUCUAAACGGACAGAACCUGCAGCCUGAAGACUCUGCUGUUUAUUACUGUGCCAGAGACACACAGUGACUCAAAGCAUCAGUGGAGCUGAACAAAAACCCUCCUGUGUCUGAACAACACAGAGCCACCAGAGGAGGAGCCCUCAGACAACAGAUGCCCUGAACUUCACCAGAAUGUAAAAUUAAACUAUUCACUUCAAUAAUACAAUAAAGCAAACACCCAGCAGGCACACAACUGACCUUCAAUGUUAAGAUACGGUUGAAAUAAUGUCAGUUACUGUUGUGACGUUGAUGCUACAUUGAAACAACGUUUGAUCAACUUUGA